rnacentral:rRNA from 1 species
UACGUAGGGUGCAAGCGUUGUCCGGAAUUAUUGGGCGUAAAGAGCUCGUAGGCGGUCUGUCGCGUCGGCUGUGAAAUCCCGAGGCUCAACCUCGGGUCUGCAGUCGAUACGGGCAAACUUGAGUGUUGCAGGGGAGACUGGAAUUCCUGGUGUAGCGGUGAAAUGCGCAGAUAUCAGGAGGAACACCGGUGGCGGAGGCGGGUCUCUGGGCAACAACUGACGCUGAGGAGCGAAAGCGUGGGGAGCAAACAGG